rnacentral:rRNA from 1 species
GACGAACGCUGGCGGCGUGCUUAACACAUGCAAGUCGAGCGGUAAGGCCCUUUCGGGGGUACGACGAGCGGCGAACGGGUGAGUAACACGUGGGUGACCUGCCCUCAGCUCUGGGAUAAGCCUGGGAAACCGGGUCUAAUACUGGAUAUGACUCCAUGACGCAUGUUGUGGGGUGGAAAGCCUUGUGCGGCUGAGGAUGGGCCCGCGGCCUAUCAGCUUG